rnacentral:rRNA from 1 species
CCUACGGGAGGCAGCAGUGGGGAAUUUUCCGCAAUGGGCGAAAGCCUGACGGAGCAAUACCGCGUGAGGGAAGAAGGUCUGUGGAUUGUAAACCUCUUUUGUUAGGGAAGAUAAUGACGGUACCUAACGAAUAAGCAUCGGCUAACUCCGUGCCAGCAGCCGCGGUAAU